rnacentral:lncRNA from 1 species
CCUUGACUGAAGGAAUCAUGACUUCAGAUUUGGACGGAGGAGCAGAGAGUAUUAAUGAGAGUGCUGAAAUAACACUGAGGGAUUUUAUUUGGCUUUGCUUCUUUGUUGGAUUUUAUGCAGCGCUUACCUCCAGCACCACGUCUAAUAAUCCAAACUGAAGAAAAACACGUUUAUGCCAAGACUCGAGCUUCCAACAACAACUAACUAUUCAUUGCACCUUAUUAAAAUCAGCAGGGUGUGGCUUUGUAUCGAAUACAUUUCCGACUUUUGAAUUUGUGCAUUUUCAGGCGCAUUUUAAUGGAAAUAAUGUUGGACAUACAAACUCUUUCCAAUCCUGGUAAUUCGAGCAACAUUUCCAUAGUGUUCACAUGAGUUUGUGAGACGAGUUUAUAGAUUGAGUUUAUAGAUGCAGGAAACCCCAGAACAAGAAUAUUCUGUUUAGUCUGGGAAUAGUUGACCUAUGAGCUGUAUGGACUCUCAUUCUGACGGCAUCCAUUGCUGAGACACUGAUGGCAUGACACAUGACACAACUCAUCCUAAUCUUGUAUGGCCUGAGGGUGGACACAUUUUCAUUUUGAGGUCACUUUCUGGGAAACAACUCUGUGAUUGACGUCCUGCGGCGUGAAGGUUAUGAGGUGGAGCACACGCCUGCUGGACAGACGCUACACAGCGUCUCGGAGCGGGAGCCUCUGGAGCCGUUCCUCCACGAGAGCCGAGAUCUUCAGGAGGACGAGGAGCCGCAUCUCCUGGAGCUCCUGGAGAAGGUGGAGCACAGGCUGAAGAAGAAGCGCCGCAACAAGCAGAAGAAGCAGCGCCAUCGACAGUUCAACGACCUCUGGGUGCGGAUGGAGGAGAGGUGAGACCAGCACAAACCUGUAAAGAGCACAGACUCAUUCACACAUCAACCAGCGCAAUAUACCGAGAAAGAAAGAAAUAAAGAAAGCCACAGUACGCUGAAAAGUACGCCAAAAAAUGAAGGGUUGCUAUAAGUUUUGAUAGAGCUGGUAUUGUGUGACUCCUAGUUGAGGGUUCAAGGUCGUCUUUUAUUUCCUAAAGCAAAUAAGAAAAAAACAUGGCUUGGCAAUUGAUAUGUUCGGAAAAGGUGUUCUUCUGAAAUUCAAAAUAAAUUAAUAAUACGUGUGGAAAAUAUCCUCUCUCAUCUCAGCGGUGCCAGCCAUUUCAAGCACAAAAUAGUUUAAGACAUGCUUUAUUUUGGCGUUUAAUGAUGGUGCAAAUACCAGUAAUUUGCUGUUAGUAAAAUGUGUUGUGUAAUACGUUUUUAAAUACUCUCCUCCCAGAAAUUGUGCGUCUGAAAGGGAAACUCCUAGAAAUGCAUAUUCAAAAAGGUCAGGUGCAAAAAUAACUGUGUCCAUGCCUUUUCAGAGCUAAUUCGUCACCGCGCAUCUUUAGUAAAACCUGAAAGUACUAUUUUAACUAUUUUUAUUUUAACGGUUUGCACUGGUGCAAGCUGUUAGUAAAACUGACCCAUAGACUGUUAGGUUAGGGUUAGUAGAAUAAGUUGAGUUGAAUGUUCAUGAAAAUCAAGAUAUUAAGCAGACAGUCGCUAAUCCUCUAAUGAUUGCUAGUUGACAAGUUACUUAUAGUUAUUAAAAUCUCUGAAAUAGAACCUAGUUCUUGUCAUUUUAAAUUAAAUUAAAUUUCUGUUUUCAUUUGAAUUUUAGUUUGUUUUGUUUUGUGUGUUUGCCAUUAUUGUUUUUUGUUGUUGUUGUUGUUUUAAUACGCAUAAAUAGUUUUUCAAAUUUUGGUUAAAGUUUUUGUUGUCAUUUUUAUUAGUUUAUUUUUUAAACAUGCUUAUAGUUUUUAUUUUUUAGUAUAGUUAGCCUUAAAUUUAAUAGUUUAAUAUUUUAUUUUUAUAUUUACUGUUUACUGUUUACUAUUUAAAUGUUUAGUUGGCGUUUUGUGUUUUUUUUUCUGUUCAUUGUUUUUGUAAAACAUGCCUAUUUUUAAUCUUAUUUCAAGUAAACAAUUUUUUAACGGUUUUAUGGUUAAUGAUAAUGACCUGUCACGGGUCAGUA